rnacentral:rRNA from 1 species
UACGUAGGGUGCAAGCGUUGUCCGGAAUUAUUGGGGCGUAAAGAGCUCGUAGGCGGUUCGUCGCGUCGGCUGUGAAAACCUGAGGCUCAACCUCAGGCCUGCAGUCGAUACGGGCGGACUUGAGUACUGCAGGGGAGACUGGAAUUCCUGGUGUAGCGGUGAAAUGCGCAGAUAUCAGGAGGAACACCGGUGGCGAAGGCGGCGACCUGGGUCCUUUACUGACGCUGAGGCGCG